rnacentral:rRNA from 1 species
UACGAAGGGGGCUAGCGUUGUUCGGAAUUACUGGGCGUAAAGCGCGCGCAGGCGGUUCGAUAAGUUGGGGGUGAAAUCCCUGGGCUCAACCCAGGAAUGGCCUUCAAGACUGUCGAUCUUGAGGACGAGAGAGGUGAGUGGAAUUCCCAGUGUAGAGGUGAAAUUCGUAGAUAUUGGGAAGAACACCGGUGGCGAAGGCGGCCUGCUGGGCAGUUUUGCUGACACUGAGGCGCGACAGCGUGGGGAGCAAACAGG